GGGAUUCACCCAGCGCCGGACACCGAGGGAGGGACCGGGAGGGGCCCCGCGAGCACGGAAGGGAGGGAGAGAGGGAAGGACCGGGAGUGCCCCCGGUACCGGUGGGAAGGGCAGAAGGGAGGAACGGGAGAAUCCCGGGGGGCACCGAGGCUGCGGCGGGGCCGGUACCGGGGCAGCACGGCCGGUGAUCCCCCACGGCAACCCCGGUGCCCGCCAGCACCGCCGAAACACGGCGGAAACCGCGGCGCGUCCCGUGACAGCCCCGCGAGACGCAGCGGGACGGGCACGGAGCGCACCGGGAGCGGCGGGGCCUGGCGGAGGGCGGAGCGCGGCCUCCCCCGGCCCGGCCCGGCACUCACCGGCUCGCGGCCUCCCCGCGGGGCCUCCGGCGCCACCAACGCGCGGCCGGUGCCGGCGGCGGGCGGGACCCGCUCGGUGCCGCUUCCGGGGCGGCCCGGAAAGAAGCCGGGAGCGCGCGGCGCGCCGGAAAUGCGUAAUGCCGUGACGUCAUCAGCGAGAGACGCCGUCGCGCCGUUACCGCGUGAGUGAUCCCGGAACUUCCCGGGCCCGUUGGGCUCGGAGCGAGCCCGGGCGCUGCUCACGGCGCCGUUACCGGGGCGGUUCCUCACGCCGCUCCCGUUACCGGAGGAAUCACCGCGCUCAUCCCGCUCCCGGAUAAGUCUCCCCCCGGUCUCACCGCCCUGCCCCGUUACCGGAGGAUUCCCGGUGCCGCCGCGGUCACACUGAAGAAUCCCCCGGUUCUCACCGUCUCUUGUUCUUUGAAGCCCCCUCAGCCCCAUUACGGGUGGAUCCCCGGUUCCAUCCCCAGCCCCGUUACCGGCGGGACCUCCACGCUGCUCUCCGGUUACCGGAGAAACUCCGAGCCCGCUCCCCCCCCCGGUCACCGACAGAGCCCACACACCGUGUAAGCAACAACAACUUUUAUUCACGGCACGGCGGCCGCCGCAAAGCAAAGAACGGGCCCGGCCCGGCGGGGCCCCCCCGCGGCACCGGGGCAGGCCCGGCCGCUCCUGAGGCGCCAUCGGUCGCCCCGGCACCGCCCCCCGCCGCUCACCUUGGCCCUCAUGGCGGUUCUACGGGGCCCCGCUCAGUCCCGGCGGGCGGGGGGCGGCGGAUGGAGGCGGAUGGCUGCGGAUGGAGGCGGCGGCCGAGGAAGGCACCAAGAUGGCGGCGGCCGAGAGGGGCGCGCUCCCACCGGUGGGGCCUAUUUAUAGGGAAGCACUCAGGCCACGCCCACCGAUGCGCAAGGCACGACGGGAAGUGUAGUUCCUCGCUGUUGGAGCACGAUGGGAGUUGUAGUCCGGCAGCCGGCCGCCAUUUUGCGCCGCCGCGGGGUUCGGUUCCUCCCCGCCUCAAAUUUAUUGGGAAUAAAAACACCAAAUACAAAUUUUUUUUUGUUAAUUUCCGCUAA
rnacentral:lncRNA from 1 species